CCUACGGGUUGCACCAGAGGGGAAUAUUGCACAAUGGGCGCAAGCCUGAUGCAGCCAUGCCGCGUGUAUGAAGAAGGCCUUCGGGUUGUAAAGUACUUUCGGCGGGGAGGAAGGGAGUAAGGUUAAUAACCUUAUUCAUUGACGUUACCCGCAGAAGGAGCACCGGCUAACUCCGUGCCAGCAGCCGCGGUAAUACGGAGGGUGCAAGCGUUAAUCGGAAUUACUGGGCGUAAAGCGCACGCAGGCGGUCUGUCAAGUCGGAUGUGAAAUCCCCGGGCUCAACCUGGGAACUGCAUUCGAAACUGGCAGGCUGGAGUCUUGUAGAGGGGGGUAGAAUUCCAGGUGUAGCGGUGAAAUGCGUAGAGAUCUGGAGGAGUACCGGUGGCGAAGGCGGCCCCCUGGACAAAGACUGACGCUCAGGUGCGAAAGCGUGGGGAGCAAACAGGAUUAGAUACCCCUGUAGUC
rnacentral:rRNA from 1 species